AACAAAUCUGGAGAUAGCUGGUUCUCCCCGAAAACUAUUGAGGUAGUGCCUCGUGUAUGACUCCAGGGGGUAGAGCACUGUUAUGGCUAGGGGGACAUGGCGUCUUACCAAACCAUGGCAAACUCCGAAUACUUGGAAGUUUGAGCACGGGAGACAGAGCACCGGGUGCUAACGUCCGGACUCAAGAGGGAAACAACCCAGACCGCCGGCUAAGGUCCCUAAUAUUGACUAAGUGGAAAACGAAGUGGAAAGGCUAAGACAGUCAGGAAGUUGGCUUAGAAGCAGCCAUCCUUCAAAGAAAGCGUAAUAGCUCACUGAUCGAGUCUUUCUGCGCGGAAGAUGUAACGGGGCUAAGUCAAUAACCGAAGCCGCGGAUUCACACUUAUGUGUGAGUGGUAGGGGAGCGUUCUGUAAGCCUGCGAAGGUGACUCGUAAGGGUUGCUGGAGGUAUCAGAAGUGCGAAUGCUGACAUGAGUAACGUUAAAGCGGGUGAAAAGCCCGCUCGCCGUAAGCCCAAGGUUUCCUGCUCUACGUUCAUCGGAGCAGGGUGAGUCGGCCCCUAAGGUGAGGCUGAGAAGCGUAACUGAUGGGAACAAGGUUAAUAUUCCUUGACCACCGCUGAAUGCGAAGGGGGGACGGAGUAUUGAAGAUCAUCCGGGUGUUGGAUAUCCCGGUUUGCGAGCGUAGGAGGCUGACAGGCAAAUCCGUCAGCGAAUCUCCGAGGCAAAGCAUCGAGCUCUCUUUUGAGCGAAGUGAUUGGAUGUGCUUCCAGGAAAAGCCUCUAAGCUCCAGUUCAGCGGGACCGUACCGCAAACCGACACUGGUGGGCGAGCUGAAUAUGCUCAGGCGCUUGAGAGAACUCAGGAGAAGGAACUCGGCAAAUUGACACCGUAACUUCGGGAUAAGGUGUGCCUUUGUAGCGUGGAGGGAGAAACACCCCGAGCGCGAAGAGGUCUCAGAUAAUCGGUGGCUGCGACUGUUUAUUAAAAACACAGCACUCUGCAAAGACGAAAGUCGACGUAUAGGGUGUGAUGCCUGCCCGGUGCUGGAAGAUUAAUUGAUGGGGUGCAAGCUCCUGAUCGAAGUCCCAGUAAACGGCGGCCGUAACUAUAACGGUCCUAAGGUAGCGAAAUUCCUUGUCGGGCAAGUUCCGACCUGCACGAAUGGCAUAACGAUGGCCACACUGUCUCCUCCUGAGACUCAGUGAAGUUGAAGUGUUUGUGAUGAUGCAAUCUCCCCGCGGCUAGACGGAAAGACCCCAUGAACCUUUACUGUAGCUUUGCAUUGGACUUUGAACCGAUCUGUGUAGGAUAGGCGGGAGCCUGUGAAACCACAACGCCAGUUGUGGCGGAGGCGUCCUUGAAAUACCGCCCUGAUUUGUUUGAGGUUCUAACCUGGGACAGUUAUCCUGUCCGGGGACCGUGCAUGGUAGGCAGUUUGACUGGGGCGGUCUCCUCCUAAAGGGUAACGGAGGAGUGCGAAGGUACGCUAGGUACGGUCGGAAAUCGUGCUGAUAGUGCAAUGGCAAAAGCGUGCUUGACUGCGAGACCCACAAGUCGAGCAGAUACGAAAGUAGGUCAUAGUGAUCCGGUGGCUCUGUAUGGAAGGGCCAUCGCUCAACGGAUAAAAGGUACUCUGGGGAUAACAGGCUGAUACCGCCC
rnacentral:rRNA from 1 species